AGUGAACGCUGGCGGUAGGCCUAACACAUGCAAGUCGAACGGCAGCACAGUAAGAGCUUGCUCUUACGGGUGGCGAGUGGCGGACGGGUGAGGAAUACAUCGGAAUCUACUUUUUCGUGGGGGAUAACGUAGGGAAACUUACGCUAAUACCGCAUACGACCUACGGGUGAAAGCAGGGGAUCUUCGGACCUUGCGCGAUUGAAUGAGCCGAUGUCGGAUUAGCUAGUAGGCGGGGUAAAGGCCCACCAAGGCGACGAUCCGUAGCUGGUCUGAGAGGAUGAUCAGCCACACUGGAACUGAGACAAGGUCCAGACUCCUACGGGAGGAAGCAGUGGGGAAUAUUGGACAAUGGGCGCAAGCCUGAUCCAGCCAUACAGCGUGGGUGAAGAAGGCAUUCGGGUUGUAAAGCCCUUUUGUUGGGAAAGAAAAGCAGCAGGUUAAUAACCCGCUGUUCUGACGGUACCCAAAGAAUAAGCACCGGCUAACUUCGUG
rnacentral:rRNA from 1 species